UACAGAGACUGCAAGCGUUAUUCGGAUUCACUGGGCGUAAAGCGUGCGCAGGCGGUUCGACAAGUCUGAUGUGAAAGCCCCGGGCUCAACCUGGGAAUGGCAUUGGAAACUGGCGAGCUAGAGUGUGGCAGAGGGGGGUGGAAUUCCGCGUGUAGCAGUGAAAUGCGUAGAGAUGCGGAGGAACACCGAUGGCGAAGGCAGCCCCCUGGGCUGACACUGACGCUCAGGCACGAAAGCGUGGGGAGCAAACAGG
rnacentral:rRNA from 1 species